UUUCCCUUGUUUCAGUUGGUAGAGCGUUGUGAUAACCACGCAAAGGUUAUGGGUUCAAAUCCCAGGGAAAG